AACUGAUCAUAAUGUGUAAAAGGGUGUAAUGUAUAAUUAGAAAGACAUAAGUAAAACUCAAUUAUUGAGCCACAAUUUUCAUGAAUUAAACUUUACCAUCCACAGAUAAGUCCUUAUUGCUUGUUAAUCUUGGGUGCCUGCACUACACUUGAUUUUAAAAUAGUUGGUCUUCAAUAAAUUUUCAAGAUUUUCCUGAGCAGAUACAAAUUCAGGUUUUGAUGUGCUUCAAACUAAGGAACAUCAUCUUUCAUGAAAUGUUUCCAGUAGAUGUGAUGUGAGUGAAAACUAAAAACAGUCAUACUUAUUGCUACAUUUGACUAGCAAAUAAAAGGAAUAAAGUAUUUUCCCUUUGCUACAAAUUAAUAAUACAAUCACAUGCAUAGAGAAUGUGAGGAACCUCCAACACUAAACUUUGAUAUUCACAUUAUGUGAAAUUUGAAAUUUUCUGGGUGACAGUAUACUUAUUGGUAGGUUUUCUGGUUCAUAAAAAUAACUCAAGAGCUAAUAAUAUUUGUAAUUGUGACCUUGUUGUAAUUGGGAAAAGCCACUGGUUGAUCAUACGACCUUUAUUGAAUAUGUCAUGCUUGCUGUUUAAAAAAUUCCUAACUAAUCACAUGCAAAUUAAUGCUAAACAACUUUUUUGUAUUUAUUAAAAAUAAUUUAAAUAUA
rnacentral:sRNA from 1 species